AUUGAACGCUGGCGGCAUGCCUUACACAUGCAAGUCGAACGGUAACAGGUCUUCGGAUGCUGACGAGUGGCGAACGGGUGAGUAAUACAUCGGAACGUGCCUAGUAGUGGGGGAUAGCUACUCGAAAGAGUGGCUAAUACCGCAUGAGAUCUACGGAUGAAAGCAGGGGAUCGCAAGACCUUGUGCUACUAGAGCGGCCGAUGGCAGAUUAGGUAGUUGGUGGGAUAAAAGCUUACCAAGCCGACGAUCUGUAGCUGGUCUGAGAGGACGAUCAGCCACACUGGGACUGAGACACGGCCCAGACUCCUACGGGAGGCAGCAGUGGGGAAUUUUGGACAAUGGGCGAAAGCCUGAUCCAGCAAUGCCGCGUGCAGGAUGAAGGCCUUCGGGUUGUAAACUGCUUUUGUACGGAACGAAAAGCCCCGGGUUAAUACCCUGGGGUCAUGACGGUACCGUAAGAUUAAGCACCGGCUUACUACGUGCCAGCCGCCGCGGUAA
rnacentral:rRNA from 1 species